rnacentral:rRNA from 1 species
GAUAUUGCGCAAUGGGCGAAAGCCUGACGCAGCGACGCCGCGUGGGUGAUGAAGGCCUUCGGGUCGCAAAGCCCUGUCGAGGGGGACGAAUCAGCCUGGUCCUAAUAUGAUCAGGCCCUGACGGUACCCCUAAAGGAAGCACCGGCUAACUCCGUGCCAGCAGCCGCGGUAAUACGGAGGGUGCAAGCGUUGUUCGGAAUUACUGGGCGUAAAGCGCGUGUAGGUGGUCAUUCUAGUCAGGCGUGAAAGCCUCGAGCUCAACUCGAGAAAUGCGCUUGAUACUGGAUGACUAGAGGACCGGAGAGGAUAGUGGAAUUCCCAGUGUAGUGGUGAAAUACGUAGAGAUUGGGAAGAACACCAGUGGCGAAGGCGGCUAUCUGGACGGUUUCUGACACUAAGACGUGAAAGCGUGGGGAGCAAAC